rnacentral:lncRNA from 1 species
AUGAUAAGAGCCCUGCCCCCGCAAUCCAAAGCGAGAUGGCCCCAAAUGCUUCAGAUGCUGACAUUUUGUUACAAUUGCACAGAGCAUGAAACAACAGGAUUUGCCCCCUUUUUCCUGAUGUUUGGGAGGAUCCCACGGUUGCCUGUUGAUGUUUUGUUCCAGCAUGCCCUCCCCAGCAAUACUGUUGUUGACAAUCAGGAGUUUGUCGCCCGUUUGAAACAUGACUUAUCUGAAGCUGCACGCAUUGCCCAGCAGAACAGUCAGGUUGAACAGGCCCGUCAGGCAAAGAACUACAACCGCAGAGCCAAAGGCUCACCUCUCACGGUCGGGGACAGGGUCUUGCUUGCAAACCGUGGUGAGAGAGGAAAAAGGAAAAUUGCAGACAAAUGGGAAUCCACGGUGUUUGAAGUGGUGUCUGUGAAGCAUGGGAUCAAUGUGUACCAUAUCAGAGAUCCUGUAACAUCAAGAGAAAAGGUUGUUCACAGAAACCUUCUACUCCCUGUGAGUUUCUUACCUGCAGGAGGUGACGACAUUGUGGACUCUGACUGCUCAUCUGUUGCUGGGAGUAGAGUGUGUGAACCAGUGGUUCCUUCCGAUGUUCAGGACAGUGAGACAAAGACCAUUAACUGGCUCGUGCGCAUGGAUGAUGGGAUUGACGAGGUUGUGACGGCCGUCCCGCCUGAUUGUUCUUCCUCAGGGGAUGUUGAGGCUCAACCCUCCGGUGAAGAUGUGACUGUGGUCCCAGAUGCUGUGAGUGAGGAACUGAAUGCCCCUGCGUCCUUGGAGUGUGCUUGCCAGCUGUCUGCUUUUGAGGCCACUACUGAAAGUGCGGUGUCAAUGUCACCUGUACCACCUGAACAUGGCCCCUCCCCUGAACACUUGACUGAUACACAGCCUCCUACACACACACAAGACCAUGUUGUUUGUGUACAGCCACCUGCACUUAACACUAGGUCAGGCAGACCUGUAAAACCUCCAGCUAGACUCAUUUGUGAGAUGAAUGAGCAGGUCGUAGAUGACUCAGCUUCAACAGUAGAUUCACUGUUUUCUUUUGUGAGGAAUGUGUUUUCUGGGUAG